rnacentral:rRNA from 1 species
CCCUUAGAUGUUCUGGGCUGCACGCGCGCUACACUGACAUACUCAGCAAGUUUCCUUGCCUGAAAGGGUUGGGUAAUCUUGUUAGUGUAUGUCGUGAUGGGGAUAGAAUAUUGUAAUUAUUGCUCUUUAACGAGGAAUUCCUAGUAAGCGCAAGUCAUCAGCUUGCGUUGAUUACGUCCCUGCCCCUUGUACACACCGCCCGUCGCUCCUACCGAUUGGGUGAUCCGGUGAAUGAUUCGGACUCUGGCUAUGCUAGCUACUAGCUACGUCAGGGAAAGUUUUGUGAACCUUAUCACUUGGAGGAAGGAGAAGUCGUAACA